UACACUGACGUGAGUCUUGUGAGCAAGGCGUAUGCAGCUACCCGCGGAAUCAAUUUCAUCGUCAUGCAAUGCACGUGCACUAGCCUAUAUCUGCUCUACCUUUCACAAACCAAAUGGGUUUGCUCAUUGCCGUGCACCGCCUACUUCUCGUAAACGCGUUCUCUGUGUCGGUCCGACUGAUCCUUGUGU